rnacentral:lncRNA from 1 species
GGGAAGAAUCUCCUCUCCCCAUAGUCUUCUCUGUCUCAAGUAAUGGAAACUCUGCCCCCUGGUUUUUCUCAGGCUGAAAAUCUCAUAGUCAUCCUGAGAGCUCUCUUUUGGGGCAGUGGGUUAAGGAUCCACGUUGCCAUGAGCUGGAUCUGGUAUUGCAGUGACUGUGGUGUCGGCCAGCAGCUGUAGCUCCUAUUAGACCCCUAGCCUAGGAACCUCCAUAUGCUGCAGGCUGGGCCCUAGAAAAGACAAAAAAAAAAAAAAGAAAGAAAAAGAAAAAAUUAGUUCUCUCCUGAGCAGGGGAUUAAGGAUCCGGCAUUGUCCCUGCACUGGCUCAGGUCUUCAACAAGCUGUGGAAACACAGCCAAAAAAACCUCCAAAAACAUUUAAACUGCUUUGUCCAGGAGUAGAGUUUGACAGAGUCAAAUCUAAGUAUUAUGUUAAGGGAAGAUAUAUUAGUGCACUUAAUCAGAAGAUUGCACAGAAAGCCAUUAUGGGGGAAUUUAGGCAGCAUUGGUCAUUUUCAUCCAAUAGAUGGAGACAGAGUGUAAAGGAUGCAGUUUUUGCAGCUUGUGAAACAAAGAGGGAUUCGAAUUGGGAAUCUGCUUUAGAUUCCUGCCCCUAACACCCCAUUAGGCAUCCAGCCAGGGCUGGCUCCAGUUGCUUGGGGUCAGAGGAUGGAAAGGAGUGUGAAAUGAACUCACCGAACUCAUAGAGUGUACAACAGGGUAAAGCCAUGUGCAAAGGGAAAAAAAAUCUGAUUUUAAUCUGAACACCAAGGGUUUGUUUUUGCAAUUGUGCAAGACUUUGAACUUUAGGAACCAAGGUGGGAUGUCGGUGGAUUUAUGACACUCUUUGGAGUAGAAAUAAAAGAUUGAUAGUAAUAUCCAAAUUGUAAGACUAAUCCUAUUAAAAUUAAAGCUAUCGGCAGUGGUUUUACGGUGAACACGUGUACUAGAGAGAAAGAAAAAAACUGUGAAAAGAAGGCUUGCUAUUCUUCAAGUUACUGUGACUGAUUAAUAACCAGAUACAUUCAGUUUCUGCAAAAUUUUAUCUCUAUGAUGCUAAUAAAAUUUAUUGAAUUAUAAAUAUUGGAUUAUAGUUUGCGGAUCACUUAGUACUCUCGCACUUUUAAGAUAGUCUCCUUGGAGUUCCCGUUGUGGCUCAGGGGGUUAAGAACCCAAUUAGUAUCCAUAAAGAUACAGGUUCAGUCUCUGGCCUCACUCGGUGGGUUAAGUAUCCGGUGUUGCUGUGACCUGCUUUAUAGGCUGCAGAUGUUGCUCCAAUCUGGUAAUGCUGUGGCUGUGGUGUAGGCCAGCAGCUGCAGCUCCAAUUUGACCUCUAGCCUGGGAACUUCUAUGUGCCACAGGUGUGGCCCUAAAAAGAAAAAAAAAAGAAAAAA